CUGAGAGUGUUCUAUUAUAUCUGUCUCUGCACUGAUGACUAGGGUUAAUUCAGCCGAUCUGUCUGACUAGUGGAUGCCCCCCUCCUCCCUCAUUGCUCCGUGUGUGUCCUUCCCAAAGCUGUGUGUUUGGUAGAAGAGGAUGGACAUAUUAGAUAAAAGGGUACUACUCUGGACAAGGGUAAACAAUAGUUGUUCUCUCCUGCUAGAAUAUCUAGACAGCAUUUCUGGAAGGGAGGGCUUCUGCAUCAUGUUUUAAAGCAUUACAUCUUAAAAGUCGUCUGU
rnacentral:snRNA from 1 species